GACGAACGCUGGCGGCGUGCUUAACACAUGCAAGUCGAACGGUGAAAGCGGAGCUUGCUCCGCUGGAUCAGUGGCGAACGGGUGAGUAACACGUGGGCAACCUGCCCCUCACUUCGGGAUAACUCCGGGAAACCGGGGCUAAUACCGGAUAUGACCUCCUUGGGCAUCCUUGGAGGUGGAAAGUUUUUCGGUGAGGGAUGGGCCCGCGGCCUAUCAGCUUGGUGGUGAGGUAGUGGCUCACCAAGGCGACGACGGGUAGCCGGCCUGAGAGGGCGACCGGCCACGCUGGGACUGGGACACGGCCCAGACUCCUACGGGAGGCAGCAGUGGGGAAUAUUGCGCAAUGGGCGAAAGCCUGACGCAGCAACGCCGCGGGCGGGAUGACGGCCUUCGGGUUGUAAACCGCUUUCAGCAGGGAAGAAGCCGCAAGGUGACGGUACCUACAGAAGAAGCACCGGCUAACUACGUGCCAGCCGCCGCCGUAA
rnacentral:rRNA from 1 species